rnacentral:rRNA from 1 species
GAGUUUGAUCCUGGCUCAGGAUGAACGCUGGCGGCGUGCCUAAUACAUGCAAGUCGAGCGAACAGACGAGGAGCUUGCUCCUCUGACGUUAGCGGCGGACGGGUGAGUAACACGUGGAUAACCUACCUAUAAGACUGGGAUAACUUCGGGAAACCGGAGCUAAUACCGAAUAAUAUAUUGAACCGCAUGGUUCAAUAGUGAAAAACGGUUUUGCUGUCACUUAUAGAUGGAUCCGCGCCGCAUUAGCUAGUUGGUAGGGUAACGGCUUACCAAGGCGACGAUGCGUAGCCGACCUGAGAGGGUGAUCGGCCACACUGGAACUGAGACACGGUCCAGACUCCUACGGGAGGCAGCAGUAGGGAAUCUUCCGCAAUGGGCGAAAGCCUGACGGAGCAACGCCGCGUGAGUGAUGAAGGUCUUCGGAUCGUAAAACUCUGUUAUUAGGGAAGAACAAAUGUGUAAGUAACUAUGCACGUCUUGACGGUACCUAAUCAGAAAGCCACGGCUAACUACGUGCCAGCA